UAACCACCUUGCCAGCUUCGGCUGGUUCUCGUCAGCGCAGCCGCAUUGCCGCGGCUGCAUAUUAAGAAGUCGUUGUGCAUUUAGCUUGA
rfam:Vibrio vulnificus YJ016 DNA, chromosome II, complete sequence.